rnacentral:rRNA from 1 species
CACGUAGGGCGCAAGCGUUGUCCGGAAUUAUUGGGCGUAAAGAGCUCGUAGGCGGUCUGUUGCGUCCGCUGUGAAAACUCGGGGCUUAACCCCGAGCCUGCAGUGGAUACGGGCAGACUAGAGGUAGGUAGGGGAGAAUGGAAUUCCCGGUGUAGUGGUGGAAUGCGUAGAUAUCGGGAGGAACACCAGUGGCGAAGGCGGUUGCCUGGGGCUUUGCUGACGCUGAUGCGCGAAAGCGUGGGGAGCGAUCCGG